UUGUGUAGUGCGAUGUGGGGACGGAUCUUAAUAGGUCAUCCGGGUGUUGGAUAUCCCGGUUUAGGCAGAUGUAGGCGACAGGUAGGCAAAUCCGCCUGUCAUAUACCGAGGCUGCCGAUCGAGCGAGCUUGCUCGCGAAGUGAUUGAACGAGGUUCCAGGAAAAGCCACUAAGCUUCAGCUACACACGACCGUACCGCAAACCGACACUGGUGCGCGAGAUGAGUAUUCUAAGGCGCUUGAGAGAACUCGGGAGAAGGAACUCGGCAAAUUGACACCGUAACUUCGGAAGAAGGUGUGCCCUAUUAGUGUGAAGUGAACAACGGAGCAUGAAUGGGUUGCAAAAAAUCGGUGGCUGCGACUGUUUAUUAAAAAACAGCACUCUGCAAACACGAAAGUGGACGUAUAGGGUGUGACGCCUGCCCGGUGCUGGAAGAUUAAAUGAUGGGGUGCAAGCUCUUGAUUGAAGUCCCAGUAAACGGCGGCCGUAACUAUAACGGUCCUAAGGUAGCGAAAUUCCUUGUCGGGUAAGUUCCGACCUGCACGAAUGGCGUAACGAUGGCCACACUGUCUCCUCCCGAGACUCAGCGAAGUUGAAAUGUUUGUGAUGAUGCAAUCUCCCCGCGGAAAGACGGAAAGACCCCAUGAACCUUUACUGUAGCUUUGUAUUGGACUUUGACCAGAUCUGUGUAGGAUAGGUGGGAGGCUUUGAAGCAGGGUCGCUAGAUCUUGUGGAGCCAACGUUGAAAUACCACCCUGGUGUGUUUGAGGUUCUAACCUAGGUCCAUUAUCUGGAUCGGGGACAGUGCAUGGUAGGCAGUUUGACUGGGGCGGUCUCCUCCCAAAGCGUAACGGAGGAGUUCGAAGGUACGCUAGUUACGGUCGGACAUCGUGACGAUAGUGCAAUGGCAUAAGCGUGCUUAACUGCGAGACUGACAAGUCGAGCAGAUGCGAAAGCAGGACAUAGUGAUCCGGUGGUUCUGUAUGGAAGGGCCAUCGCUCAACGGAUAAAAGGUACUCUGGGGAUAACAGGCUGAUACCGCCCAAGAGUUCAUAUCGACGGCGGUGUUUGGCACCUCGAUGUCGGCUCAUCUCAUCCUGGGGCUGUAGCCGGUCCCAAGGGUAUGGCUGUUCGCCAUUUAAAGAGGUACGUGAGCUGGGUUUAAAACGUCGUGAGACAGUUUGGUCCCUAUCUUCCGUGGGCGCUGCAGAUUUGAGGAAGCCUGCUCCUAGUACGAGAGGACCGGAGUGGACGCACCUCUGGUGUAUCGGUUGUCACGCCAGUGGCAUUGCCGAGUAGCUAUGUGCGGAAGAGAUAACCGCUGAAAGCAUCUAAGCGGGAAACUCGCUCCAAGAUGAGAUCUGCCGGGGCCUUGAGCCCCCUAAAGAGUCGUUCAAGACCAGGACGUUGAUAGGUCGGGUGUGGAAGCGCAGUAAUGCGUUAAGCUAACCGAUACUAAUUGCUCGUGCGGCUUGACCCC
rnacentral:rRNA from 1 species